CACGUAGGGGGCAAGCGUUGUCCGGAUUUAUUGGGCGUAAAGAGCUCGUAGGCGGCUCAGUUAGUCGGGUGUGAAACCCCCGGGCUCAACCCGGGGACGCCACCCGAUACUGCUGUGGCUAGAGUCCGGUAGGGGAGCGUGGAAUUCCUGGUGUAGCGGUGAAAUGCGCAGAUAUCAGGAGGAACACCGGUGGCGAAGGCGGGUCUCUGGGCCGAUACUGACGCUGAGGAGCGAAAGCGUGGGGAGCGAACAGG
rnacentral:rRNA from 1 species